GGAGACGUGGCUGAGUGGUCGAAAGCGCUUCACUGCUAACGAAGUAGGGUGUUAAAACCCUCCAGGGUUCGAAUCCCUGCGUCUCCGCCA
rnacentral:tRNA from 1 species